rnacentral:lncRNA from 1 species
CCUAUCAAGGGUUUCAAAUACUGGGGUUAAUACACUGAUGGCAGAUAUGACAGUAGGGAUCAGUGUCCACAAUUCGGUGAUUGAAGGUAUUGUGAGGGAGAAAAUCUGGUAAGACCUUAUGCCAUCUUCGAAGCUUGCUUGAUGUCUUUCAACUAGACGUGUUGUGUACCACAGUGCAACAGCAUGUGCAAUAUUCCAUAAACAAAGGGAGACACCUUGAAUGAGCCCAUACUUAAUACUUUGCUUCCUGCUUUUCUUCUUUGGCUUUUCCAGGCAUAUUUUUGCUUUCUUGAGGAUGUGCUCUUCAUGGCAAAAGGAUGCAAUGGUUCUUAUGUUUGCUGCAGACUCAGAAGCAAGUGCAACAAGUUCGUAAUGUGCGGCAGCAGAGU